AAUAUCUUCUGCGGUUAUAGAAAAACGGUCAAAAUUAUAAAAUUUAACCAUGAUUGGUAUAUCUACCCGUUUACCUACCUGCGUAUUGCACAUUAAAUUAUUGUUACUAAUACGCAUCAACUAAAGAAUGGAGGUCAUGUUUUAUGCCGAAUACCUUCGACUACAUAGGUACUAUCUAUAUUACAAGGAUCACCGUGUGGAAUCCCAAAUACCACACAGUCACAGGAUUUAUUUUCGAUUAAUUUCCUUCACUCGCUGGCUAAUUUGCUUCGUCGGGAGCGUGAAUCGAAGUAAUUUAAUUAUAGUAGGAAUUUAGGUAUUAAAA